UACAGAGGGUGCAAGCGUUGUUCGGAAUUACUGGGCGUAAGAGUGCGUAGGCGGCUAUGUAAGACAGAUGUGAAAUCCCUGGGACUUAACCGUAGGAACUGCAUUUGUGACUGCAUGGCUAGAGUGUGGUAGAGGGAGAUGGAAUUCCGCAUGUAGCAGUGAAAUGCGUAGAGAUGUGGAGGAACACCGAUGGCGAAGGCAGCCUUCUGGGCCAACACUGACGCUCAUGCACGAAAGCGUGGGGAGCAAACAGG
rnacentral:rRNA from 1 species